GGCGGCACGGAGCCACUGAGCUAAAUCCCCGGCCCUCUUAUUGUUAUUCUUAAUCCAUUCAUCUGAAUAUGAAGGUUUCCCCGGAUUCAGUAAUCAUUUACACUGUGGUCAGGCAAGGAGAAAUUAAAGGGGCGUCAGGACAGUCCCUCACUUCCACGGAACAGAGGUUGUUUUGAGUGACUAGAAAACAACUAAGUAAGUUUAUACUAGUUUGUUUCCUGAUCCUGAACCUUGUGGUGUUCGGCAUGGCACUUCUGUAUUGAUGACACCUGAAGUAAAAUAUGUACCACUGGAGAGUUGUACUCCUAUGUGACAAUAGGCUCAAAGUUUAUUUUGGAAAAGUUGGACUUAAUCUCUCUGCUUUUCUAAUAAAACUAAAAUAACAGCACCUCCUUCGAAGUGACUGAGACACACUGAAGUUGUAACCCAUUUUCUAUUUUUAUAAUCUCCACCCCCGCCCGGGCGCGGCUGUGCGGGCGCCAGCGGAAGUCCGCCUAGCGCACCCGAGACGCUCACUUCCGGCGAUCACUCGCUGGGUCCCGCACAGCCGCGCCCGGUGCCCGGUGCCCAGCCAGGUGGCGCUUGCAGAUGGCCUGACAUUUCCGGGCUGCCCUCCCGCUCGGCACCGGGCGCCCGGAGCGGCAGGACCACUUUCAUUUCGCUUGGCUGCUUUCCUCCUCCCAGGGGAUUGUUGAUCAUCAGCUGUCGGAGAGCAACGCUUAAACAUUAAAAACCAGACUCCAGACUCGUGUCCAGGGCACCUCCGCCCUUUCUCCGUGUGGCGCCCUCACAGCCUGAGCCAGGCUCCCACUGGUGGCCGGUGGUUGCAGUUCGAGAUCACCAUCGUGACGUGGUGCUGGAAAGUGCCUCACCUUUUCGUGUCAAAGAGCACCGUUAUUUGUGGCCAAUCCGGGGAACACAGUGAGAGCAGUUAUCCUCCUUCUUAGUAUAAAAGUUUUAGCUGGGUGUGAUGGCGCACGCCCGGGAUCUCAUAUACCCUGGAGGCUGAAGCAAGAGGAUCAUGGCAGACCUGGGCAAUUUAGGGAGACGCGUCUCAAGGGGGUAAAAAAAAGUUAAUUCUCAGAACCUACUUCCGUGUGGUCAGCCUGGAAGGACUGGCGCGGCUUCUUACUCUUGGUAGUAGAUGUACGAAGAGGAAUCAUGCUCUCAAGCAGAGGUCGGUAGCACCUCUGCCCCUUACCUGUGCUGACUCUGCGCAAACGAAGGCCAUUAGGAAAAAGGGGCUUGCCCUAGAGAAUGCGUCAUCAUAUGUCAAGGACUUCCCACGUGAAAGACUGGUGACAUCCUGCCCAACCUUUCAGUAAGUUCCAGGGAAACAGCAGGUAUUUAACACAUGAACGAACGAAUGCAUGAAUGGAUGAACAAAUGAACAAAUGACUGAAUGAAUGACGUGAAGGGGAUUUUUAGUUGAUAGGUGGUUUUUCCCUUCUCUUGAAAAUAGCCAAAGAGAAGACAUGAUAAAAUUUCUCCUCUUCAAAUUCUUGUUCCUUGAAUUUUUCUAGGUAACAUAUAUUUCAUGCAAAAAUUCAGAAGUUGCCGUCUUCGGCAUAAAUGGGUUAAAUGUGCUUCGUAGCCCUUGCACGGACCUCAUGUGGAAUUUCUUCCUUUCCUGAAUAAAAGCAACCCCUGCCGGGCCAAGGAUUUAGCUCCGUGGUGCCACCACCUGCCUUGCAAGUGCAAAGUCCUGAGUUCGACCCCCAGUACCAAAAAAAAAAAAGCAACCCCUGCCGAUAGAUGUUAUUUCCAACUACUCAGAGGGAUCACAAUCAUGUGACAGCCCAUGUAUCUUCUUCAUACACCUUCAUAUUCUUUUUGUUUUGGUUUUUUUUUUUGUUUUUUUGGUACCAGGGAUCAAAAUCAGGACCUUGCACUUGCAAGGCAGGCGCCAGAACCACUGAGCUAAAUCCCCGGCCCUACCUUCAUAUUCUUAUAACAACGCAUACAACAAGGCAGACAGUUUAAGGUGCUUUACAUAUGUUUAGAAUCCUUACAACAACUCCAUACAGGAGACACUAUUAAUUGCAUUUACAGGUAAGGAAACUGAGGCACAAAUAACUUGCCCAGGGUCACACAGUGAACAAGUGACACACAGCUAUGAUUCAAACAAACCCAGGCAGUCUUGCUCCAUACCCAUAAUGGAUUUUGCUUUCUUUUCUCUCUCUCCUCUUCCCUUCUCCCUCUUGACUGAAGAUUGAACCCAGGGCCUUUGCACUGAACUACACUCCCAGACCUUUUUAAAUUUAUUUUUGGAGACAGGGUCUCACUAAGUUGCCCAGGAUGGGCUGAAACUUGUAAUCAUCCUGCCUCAGCCUCCCUCAGUACUGGGAUUACAGGUGUGCACCACCACACUUGGCUCCAUGUGGAAUACUUGUACUUAAAAACAGGAUUUUUUAAAAAAUGUAGAAUUCUAUAGAUUUUAACACAUGUAUAGAUUUGUUGACCGUAAUCAUGGUAUGGGAUACUUCUAUCAGCACCUGUGUUUUCAGCCACUGUACAGUACUUCCUUUAUAUAUUAAAAUCUGUCAUAAGUCUAAAGGUGAGAACUUUUCAAUUUAGGAAGGAAACACUACCAUCUAAGAAGAGAAACCCACUUGAAAAACCUCCAAAUGUAGUGAUAGUUCCCCUAGAAAUUCUGUUAUUCCAGCUUCAUUCUCUUUCUGGCUUCCUCUGAAUCCUACUGUGUACAGUUACUCCACCCUGAGCAUAUUUUCCAGAUGUGUGUGAUAUGCUGUGCCCCUGCCAUCCUAUCUCAGCAAUGCUACAACCCAGCUUGGUUUCCAGCUUGGUUCCCAGCUUGUUUUCCAGUCUCACCACCCCAGACAGCUCCAAAGGAACUGAACUUGAGUGGCUGGCUGGAAUCUCACACGGCCAUUGAGCUUGCCAAGUACCACGGACAGAUCACAGCGUGUGUGAAGAUCCUGACCCACAAUUCUGAUGGAGAAAAGAAUAUACUGGAUACACAGGAAACCUGGAACAUCCAAAUAAUUAUACCACUACGCCAUCAUCAAAAAGACAGUGAUUCUUUUUUUUCUUUUCUUUUCUUUUUUGGUACCGGAGAUUGAACUCAGGACUUUUCGCUUGCCAGGCAGGUGCAGUGCCACUGAGCUAAAUCCCCAAGCUCAGAAAGACAGUAAUUCUUAAUCCUAGUGCUGCUGGUGCAAUUAGAAUGAGCGCUCCUUGUUUCCAUGCAAAUCUAAUAGUUUCAAAAAGCAAACUGGUAAAUUUGGUCCUGACCCUCUUUAAAUGGCCCUGCCCUUUCUACCUGUGUGCACUCGUCCUCUUUCUGUUCCUUGGAACAUCUAGCUUUUAUAUCAAGGGGUUCCUCACUGCUCAAUUAAAACCCAUCAUGCCAGUUUUUCUCAGAAUUUAGUAUUUGUCCUAAAAAGAUUUAUCUUUUUUCAAUUUCCCAUCUUCAACCUUAAGGUUUAUGGUGAAUGGGUAGGCAAAUUAGGGAAAUGAGGAUUGCUUUCCUUUGAAAUCCUAGAUAAAAGAUACAUUUUUUUAUUGAAACACUGAAGAAAAUGCCUUUUUCACUGAACAAAUAAAGCUUUAUGUAAAGCUAAUUCUAAGAAAUGUGUUAAAAAUUUUCAGCAUGAGAACUUGGACAAGAGACUGUUCAAUAAAGGAGAACAAUGUAUAACUGUCCCACAUACCCACCAACUCCCCCGUUGGGCACGGGGUAAGUCACUCCUAGGUACAGCUGCUCAUUUGUUAAUUCAAAAUGCGUAUUUAGUAACAGGACUUGAGAACAUGAGUGUUCCUACUGUAUCUAUUACUGAAUAACAAACCAUCCCAAAACUCA